rnacentral:rRNA from 1 species
CCUACGGGUGGCAGCAGUGGGGGAUAUUGCACAAUGGGGGAAACCCUGAUGCAGCGACGCCGCGUGUGGGAAGACGGUCUUCUGGAUUGUAAACCACUGUCCCCAGGGACGAAAAUGACGGUACCUGGGGAGGCAGCUCCGGCUAACUACGUGCCAGCAGCCGCGGUAAUACGUAGGGAGCAAGCGUUGUCCGGAAUUCCUGGGUGUAAAGGGAGCGUAGGCGGGGAUGCAAGUUGGGUGUCAAAACUACCGGCUCAACCGAUAGUCGCACUCAAAACUGCAACUCUUGAGUGAAGUAGAGGCAGGCGGAAUUCCUAGUGUAGCGGUGAAAUGCGUAGAUAUUAGGAGGAACACCAGUGGCGAAGGCGGCCUGCUGGGCUUUUACUGACGCUGAGGCUCGAAAGUGUGGGGAGCAAACAGGAUUAGAUACCCCGGUAGUC